rnacentral:rRNA from 1 species
UACAGAGGUCCCAAGCGUUGUUCGGAUUCAUUGGGCGUAAAGGGUGCGUAGGCGGCGCGGUAAGUCGGGUGUGAAAUCUCGGAGCUUAACUCCGAAACUGCAUUCAAUACUGCCGUGUUUGAGGACUGGAGAGGAGACUGGAAUUUACGGUGUAGCGGUGAAAUGCGUAGAUAUCGUAAGGAAGACCAGUGGCGAAGGCGGGUCUCUGGACAGUUCCUGACGCUGAGGCACGAAGGCCAGGGGAGCAAACGGGAUUAGA